AUGGAGAGGGAGCAGCUGUGGUCGUCGUGGGAGCAGCUGUGGUCGUCGUGGGAGCAGCUGUGGUCGUCGUGGGAGCAGCUGUGGUCGUCGUCGUGGGAGGAGCUGUGGUCGUCGUGGGAGCAGCUGUGGUCGUCGUGGGAGGAGCUGUGGUCGUCGUGGGAGCAGCUGUGGUCGUCGUCGUGGGAGGAGCUGUGGUCGUCGUGGGAGCAGCUGUGGUCGUCGUGGGAGCAGCUGUGGUCGUCGUGGGAGGAGCUGUGGUCGUCGUGGGAGGAACUGUGGUCGUCGUUGGAGGAACUGUGGUCAUCGUCGUGGGAGGAACUGUGGUCGUCGUCGUGGGAGGAACUGUGGGAGGAACUGUGGUCGUCGUGGGAGGAACUGUGGUCGUUGUCUGAGGAACUGUGGUCAUUGUCGGAGGAACUGUGGUCGUCGUGGGAGGAACUGUGGGAGGAACUGUGGUCCUCGUGGGAGGAACUGUGGGAGGAACUGUGGUCGUCGUGGGAGGGCUGUGGUCGUCGUUGUGGGAGGAACUGUGGUCGUCGUUGGAGGAACUGUGGUCAUCGUCGUGGGAGGAACUGUGGUCGUCGUCGUGGGAGGAACUGUGGUCGUGUCGUGGGAGGAACUGUGGAGGAACUGUGGUCGUCGUGGGAGGAACUGUGGGAGGAACUGUGGUCCUCGUGGGAGGAACUGUGGGAGGAACUGUGGUCGUCGUGGGAGGAACUGUGGUCGUGGAGGAACUGUGGUCUUGUCGGAGGAACUGUGGUCGGGGAGGAACUGUGGGAGGAACUGUGGUCGUGGGAGGAACUGUGGGAGGAACUGUGGUCGCGUGGGAGGAACUGUGGGAGGAACUGUGGGAGGAACUGUGGGAGGAACUGUGGUCAGUGGGAGGAACUGUGGUCGUUGUCGGAGGAACUGUGGUCGUCGUUGUGGGAGGAACUGUGGUCGUCGUUGUGGGAGGAACUGUGGUCGUUGUCGGAGGAACUGUGGUCGUUGUGGGAGGAACUGUGGUCGUCGUUGUGGGAGGAACUGUGGUCGUUGUCGGAGGAACUGUGGUCGUCGUGGGAGGAACUGUGGGAGGAACUGUGGUCGUCGUGGGAGGAACUGUGGGAGGAACUGUGGUCCUCGUGGGAGGAACUGUGGGAAGGAACUGUGGUCGCGUGGGAGGAACUG
rnacentral:lncRNA from 1 species